rnacentral:rRNA from 1 species
CUUCCCUACGGGAGGCAGCAGUGGGGGAUAUUGCACAAUGGGGGAAACCCUGAUGCAGCGUCGCCGCGUGGGUGAAGAAGCGCCUCGGCGCGUAAAGCCCUGUCAGCAGGGAAGAAAAUGACGGUACCUGAAGAAGAAGCCCCGGCUAACUACGUGCCAGCAGCCGCGGUAAUACGUAUGGGGCAAGCGUUAUCCGGAUUUACUGGGUGUAAAGGGAGCGCAGGCGGCUUGGCAAGUCUGAUGUGAAAGGCUGGGGCUCAACCCCAGGACUGCAUUGGAAACUGUUAGGCUGGAGUGUCGGAGAG